GUACUAACUUGCGAUAAGCGCAGAUAAGGCAGUAAGAGCCGUUUGAGUCUGCGAUUUCCGAAUGGGGAAACCCAACUGCAUAAGCAGUUACUGUUAACUGAAUACAUAGGUUAACAGAGCAAACCGGGGGAACUGAAACAUCUAAGUACCCCGAGGAGAAGAAAUCAACCGAGAUUCCGGUAGUAGCGGCGAGCGAACCUGGAUUAGCCCUUAAGCACUCGGUGAAGUAGGUGAACAAGCUGGAAAGCUUGGCGAUACAGGGUGAUAGCCCCGUAACCGACGCUUCAUCGAGCGUGAAAUCGAGUAGGGCGGGACACGUGAUAUCCUGUCUGAAUAUGGGGGGACCAUCCUCCAAGGCUAAAUACUCCUGACUGACCGAUAGUGAACCAGUACCGUGAGGGAAAGGCGAAAAGAACCCCUGUGAGGGGAGUGAAAUAGAACCUGAAACCGUGUACGUACAAGCAGUAGGAGCACCUUCGUGGUGUGACUGCGUACCUUUUGUAUAAUGGGUCAGCGACUUAUAUUCAGUGGCAAGGUUAACCGUAUAGGGGAGCCGUAGCGAAAGCGAGUCUUAACUGGGCGCUCAGUCUCUGGAUAUAGACCCGAAACCGGGUGAUCUAGCCAUGGGCAGGUUGAAGGUUGAGUAACAUCAACUGGAGGACCGAACCGACUAAUGUUGAAAAAUUAGCGGAUGACUUGUGGCUAGGGGUGAAAGGCCAAUCAAACUCGGAGAUAGCUGGUUCUCCCCGAAAGCUAUUUAGGUAGCGCCUCGGACGAAUACUACUGGGGGUAGAGCACUGUUAAGGCUAGGGGGUCAUCCCGACUUACCAACCCUUUGCAAACUCCGAAUACCAGUAAGUACUAUCCGGGAGACACACGGCGGGUGCUAACGUCCGUCGUGGAGAGGGAAACAACCCAGACCGCCAGCUAAGGUCCCAAAGUAUUGCUAAGUGGGAAACGAUGUGGGAAGGCUCAGACAGCUAGGAUGUUGGCUUAGAAGCAGCCAUCAUUUAAAGAAAGCGUAAUAGCUCACUAGUCGAGUCGGCCUGCGCGGAAGAUGUAACGGGGCUAAGCA
rnacentral:rRNA from 1 species